AAACAGGUGUUUACCAGAGGAGGGGUGAGGGAAGGAAAGAAAUAGCUGAGGGAGAUUAGGAGGUACAAACCUUCAGUUACAAAAUAAAUGAAUCAUGAGUAUGAAAUUUAAAGUUAGGGACAGAUC